UAUUGAUCAAACCUAAAAUGUAUUUUCCACCCAAAAUUUUAUAAAACGAAUCAAUGAAUUUUGCUAGGUCUGGGGUUUUUGGACCUAAUUAGGUAUUUAGAAAAAAUAUUAUUUUUGUUCGGAUCGGUUUCUUUCAGAUAUGGAUGGUUUCGACUCCAUAAUUCAAAUAUCUAUAAAAUAUAUGUUAUUUUUUGUACGUAACGGGUAUGGAUCCGUUCAGAUAUUUAGGACUUAAAUAAAACUC
rnacentral:lncRNA from 1 species